AAGGUUUUAGCUUAAUGAAAGUGUCUGCGUUGCAUGCAGAAGAUAUAGGUUAGAGUCCUGUAGGUCUUA
rnacentral:tRNA from 1 species